rnacentral:rRNA from 1 species
UUACACGACCGUACCGCAAACCGACACUGGUGCGCGAGAUGAGUAUUCUAAGGCGCUUGAGAGAACUCGGGAGAAGGAACUCGGCAAAUUGACACCGUAACUUCGGAAGAAGGUGUGCCUUUAGUAGGUGAAGGGAUUUACUCCUGGAGCCCAAUGAGGUUGCAAAAAAUCGGUGGCUGCGACUGUUUAUUAAAAACACAGCACUCUGCAAACACGAAAGUGGACGUAUAGGGUGUGACGCCUGCCCGGUGCUGGAAGAUUAAAUGAUGGGGUGCAAGCUCUUGAUUGAAGUCCCAGUAAACGGCGGCCGUAACAAUAACGGUCCUAAGGUAGCGAAAUUCCUUGUCGGGUAAGUUCCGACCUGCACGAAUGGCGUAACGAUGGCCACACUGUCUCCUCCCGAGACUCAGCGAAGUUGAAAUGUUUGUGAUGAUGCAAUCUCCCCGCGGAAAGACGGAAAGACCCCAUGAACCUUUACUGUAGCUUUGUAUUGGACUUUGAACAGAUCUGUGUAGGAUAGGUGGGAGGCUUUGAAGCAGGGUCGCUAGAUCUUGUGGAGCCAACGUUGAAAUACCACCCUGGUGUGUUUGAGGUUCUAACCUAGGUCCAUUAUCUGGAUCGGGGACAGUGCAUGGUAGGCAGUUUGACUGGGGCGGUCUCCUCCCAAAGCGUAACGGAGGAGUUCGAAGGUACGCUAGGUACGGUCGGACAUCGUGCUAAUGGUGCAAUGGCAUAAGCGUGCUUAACUGCGAGACUGACAAGUCGAGCAGAUGCGAAAGCAGGACAUAGUGAUCCGGUGGUUCUGUAUGGAAGGGCCAUCGCUCAACGGAUAAAAGGUACUCUGGGGAUAACAGGCUGAUACCGCCCAAGAGUUCAUAUCGACGGCGGUGUUUGGCACCUCGAUGUCGGCUCAUCUCAUCCUGGGGCUGUAGCCGGUCCCAAGGGUAUGGCUGUUCGCCAUUUAAAGAGGUACGUGAGCUGGGUUUAAAACGUCGUGAGACAGUUUGGUCCCUAUCUUCCGUGGGCGCUGCAGAUUUGAGGAAGCCUGCUCCUAGUACGAGAGGACCGGAGUGGACGCACCUCUGGUGUAUCGGUUGUCACGCCAGUGGCAUUGCCGAGUAGCUAUGUGCGGAAGAGAUAACCGCUGAAAGCAUCUAAGCGGGAAACUCGUUUCAAGAUGAGAUCUGCCGGGGCCUUGAGCCCCCUAAAGAGUCGUUCAAGACCAGGACGUUGAUAGGUCAGGUGUGGAAGCGCAGUAAUGCGUUAAGCUAACUGAUACUAAUUGCUCGUGCGGCUUGACCCU